CACUGUCACUCCUACGGGAGGCAGCAGUGGGGAAUCUUGGACAAUGGGCGCAAGCCUGAUCCAGCCAUGCCGCGUGAGUGAUGAAGGCCCUAGGGUCGUAAAGCUCUUUCGCCAGGGAUGAUAAUGACAGUACCUGGUAAAGAAACCCCGGCUAACUCCGUGCCAGCAGCCGCGGUAAUACGGAGGGGGUUAGCGUUGUUCGGAAUUACUGGGCGUAAAGCGCGCGUAGGCGGACUGGAAAGUUGGGGGUGAAAUCCCGGGGCUCAACCCCGGAACUGCCUCCAAAACUCCCAGUCUUGAGUUCGAGAGAGGUGAGUGGAAUUCCGAGUGUAGAGGUGAAAUUCGUAGAUAUUCGGAGGAACACCAGUGGCGAAGGCGGCUCACUGGCUCGAUACUGACGCUGAGGUGCGAAAGUGUGGGGAGCAAACAGGAUUAGAUACCCUGGUAG
rnacentral:rRNA from 1 species